GUGCUUAACACAUGCAAGUCGAACGAUGAACCAGGAGCUUGCUCUUGGGGAUUAGUGGCGAACGGGUGAGUAACACGUGAGUAACCUGCCCUUGACUCUGGGAUAAGCGUUGGAAACGACGUCUAAUACCGGAUACGAGCUUCCACCGCAUGGUGAGUUGCUGGAAAGAAUUUUGGUCAAGGAUGGACUCGCGGCCUAUCAGCUUGUUGGUGAGGUAACGGCUCACCAAGGCGACGACGGGUAGCCGGCCUGAGAGGGUGACCGGCCACACUGGGACUGAGACACGGCCCAGACUCCUACGGGAGGCAGCAGUGGGGAAUAUUGCACAAUGGGCGAAAGCCUGAUGCAGCAACGCCGCGUGAGGGACGACGGCCUUCGGGUUGUAAACCUCUUUUAGCAGGGAAGAAGCGAAAGUGACGGUACCUGCAGAAAAAGCACCGGCUAACUACGUGCCAGCAGCCGCGGUAAUACGUAGGGUGCAAGCGUUGUCCGGAAUUAUUGGGCGUAAAGAGCUCGUAGGCGGUUUGUCGCGUCUGCUGUGAAAUCCCGAGGCUCAACCUCGGGUCUGCAGUGGGUACGGGCAGACUAGAGUGCGGUAGGGGAGAUUGGAAUUCCUGGUGUAGCGGUGGAAUGCGCAGAUAUCAGGAGGAACACCGAUGGCGAAGGCAGAUCUCUGGGCCGCUACUGACGCUGAGGAGCGAAAGGGUGGGGAGCAAACAGGCUUAGAUACCCUGGUAGUCCACCCCGUAAACGUUGGGCGCUAGAUGUGGGGACCAUUCCACGGUUUCCGUGUCGUAGCUAACGCAUAAGCGCCCCGC
rnacentral:rRNA from 1 species